rnacentral:misc_RNA from 1 species
UCAGUCUCUGGACUGAAGACUACAACAACAACAACAACAAACUGUUCAACAUAACACACUGAAAACAAUCCUUUUGAGCCUGUACUUAAAUGAAACUAAAUGACAUUUCUUCAUAAUAUGUGAAUUGAGCUUCAAGGAAGAUGGAGCAUAUGGAUACAGACUACAUAAUUGCAAAAUUGUAAGCAUAUUGUGUAGAUCCUGAGUCGCAGAUAAUCACAACAAAAAGACUGUCAUGGAAUUAGCUUUCACCCAACAAGGCCUUAGUCAAAAAUAGAUGACAGACACAUGCAUCACACACUCAUGCAAGCAUAACUGCCACACACAUGAUCACAGUCUGUGGCAAAUGAAGUCAUAUUGAGUGUGGCUUUAGCUGCAGCAGACUGUGGUCCUGUGUGUGUGUGUGUGUGUGUGUGUGUGUGUGUGUGUGUGUGUCAUCUGUUCAUCAGUUCUCGAAACACUUUACAUAUGAGGUUUCAAGCCAUUGUAUUUCCCUUGCAAGAAUCAACAAGCGGAGAAAUGCUAAACAAUGAGUGCUGUUUGUAAGCAUUGUCAAUGCAGUCACGUUGCUGUCAUUAUCACAUCAAAUUUAGUUUAGCUUCGUGUGGUAUUCACUGUGAAGAGGUUGUUGUUAGUGUGCACUCUCUGUUAGAUAAAAAUGACUUCACAAGGAAGGGGAAUGGUUGAGCUAGUGAUGCAAAAUUACCGCAGUGAAAGUAAUUCUACAUCCAAUGAAGAAAUUACAGAAGCAGAAGAAAAGAAUGGUGAAACCUCGGCUGCAAUACAAAACUGUUCCGAAGUGAAAUGACUGCAAGAGUUAACUGAAGAAGAUUGCAAUGAUUUCAAAGUGCUUAGUUUGGGUUCACCAGAUGAUUACAUACCCGAAAACAGCAUGGAUUCUUCAUCAUCAUCAUCAUCACCAUCACCAUCUCUGAGGCCAAAGAAAGGGAGAGCUGCAGUUCAACAGGAACUGCAACUAUCUUUAGAAAAUCUUAGCAAUGUCACAAAGGAGAUACAAUAUGGAAAUCCACGUUCACCGACAAAUCAGCUGUUCAGUCCUGAUUCUUCAAUUUGUGUGGGCAAAGGUUUUGUGAUGUUAAUGAACAUGCAACAGGCAGAAGUUAUUCCAGUGACCGUUGAGUCUAAUGAUCAAGAACAUGUGCAAUCUGACAGAGGAAAUGAAGUUGGUAAGGAAAAUAAAAUGAGAAAAAGAAGUAAGAACACUGACAAGUGGAAAAAGAACAUAAGAAAAAUGAAUAGGCAGUCAGGAAAGGCGUACAAAUCAACUGCUAAUAAAGAAGUACCAGCCAGAACAUUUAAGUACAAAGAUUGUUCCAAAUGCCUGAGAAAGUGUAGUGAGAACAUCAGCGAGACUGAAGGGAGACAGAUGUUCCAAGGAUUCUGGAUGAUGAAAGAUUUAGAAAAGCAGUGACAGUAUUUAGAUCCACUUAUUAAGGUGGUACCUAAAGCAAGAUCACGUUCUGCAAGUGCGCAGUCUUGAAGAAAUGUCACAAAGAAGUAUGUUCUCCUGAAAAAUGGUAGUGAAGUUCAAGUGUAUCUAGGGUUUUUCCUUAGCAUUUUUAAUAUAUCAGAAACAUUUGUGUGAUAUAUACAGAAGGAAAGGGACAGCAGCAAUAUGAUUCUGUCUGCUAACAAGAGGGGUCAUCAUCAUCCAGGUAUAAGGAGAUCCAACGAAAGGGAGAGAAUAAGGAACCAUAUAAAAUCAUUUCCUACCAUUCCAUGCAUUACUGCCAACAGAGCACUGUGCGACAGUUCUUACCAGGAGAUUUGAAUGUACAAAUAAUGCUUGAACUAUAUAAGAAAUGUUGUGAAGAGGAACAGGUUACUGCUGAAAAAUAUUGGCUUUACAGAGAAAUACUCAAUACAGAGUUUAACUUUGGCUUUCAUGUACCAAGAAAAGUUGUAUGUGACCACUGUUAUCGCUUUCAGAAUCUCUCUGAAGAAAAUCAAGAGGCAGAGAAAUACCAGCACUUAGAACACCUAAAGAGAAAGGAGGCUGUUAGGAUACUAAAAAAUGAAUUGAAGGAGCGGGCCAAAGCAGGAGAACGUCAUUUACUGGAGUUUGACCUAGAAGCUGUAAGAUACGGUCCACACAUAGCAGCAAAAGCCAUUUUUUACAAAAGAAGAUUGGCAGUAUAUAACCUCACAGUAUACAAUACUGUUACCAGGGAAGCUAGAAAUUACAUCUGGCAUGAAGGCGUGGCUAAACGCAGCUCAAUUAAAGUAGCAUCAUGUCUAUUUCAAGAACUCCAGAAGAUUGCAGAUGGCCAUCCAGUUGUUUUGUUUUCUCCGACACUUGUGGUGGACAGAACUGAAAUGUCAACAUGAGUACCAUGUUCCUUCAUGCUGUCCAAACAUUGAACAUCCCAGUGAUACAGCAGUGCUUCUUUGAGCCUGGCCACUCUUUAAUGGAGUGUGAUUCAGUCCAUACCCGUAUAGAGAGGGCUGCAAAAAAUGUUAAUAUUUAUGACCCUUCGGGGUGGUAUACUGUUGUUCAAACUGCUACAAAACAAAGACUGUAUGAAGUCAUUGAAAUGGACCAGAAGAACUUUUUGGAUUUUGGUGCUAUGCAGAAGGAAAAGUUUAAUAAUACUAAAAUUGACAGUGAAGGAAAUCAAGUACAAUGGCUUAAAGUGACGCAGCUUCAGUAUCGCAAAAGUGAUGUUAAUCACAUCUUUUUCAAGCAUUUCCAUAAUCAACAAUUCAGAAGUUUGCCAGUUUCCAAAAAAUCCCAAAAUUCCGAUACAGUCUUCCAGUUGGAACCGAAAUACCAUGGAGCACUGAAACUUCAGGAAGAGAAGGUAAAAGACCUCCUGGAUCUAUGCCGCAGUGGCAUUAUCAGGGAACAGUACCACGCAUUUUACAAGACUCUUCAAGAAGAAAUAGCUGGAGAUUCAUACUGUGGUGGCAACAGUUGUGAUGAAGUUAGCUAGAAAGUGAACAUUCAUUGGUGAUGUAGGUACAAAUUCCGCUCAUAUGUUUUUACUUUUUCUGUACCCUAUAUGUUUUUAAUGAGUAAAUUACCUUUGUAAGUUAUAUUUUGGCAAACCAAAUGUGUAUCUCCAAAGUGUAAAACCUCUAUGUAGAUUUAUUCUCUUAGGAUCAUAAAGACGUGUCUCCUUAGCACCAUAUUAAAAAUUAAUAGUGGUAGUCCAGUAAGAACCAUUUUUAUAAAUAUAUUAUCA